GAUGAACGCUGGCGGCGUGCUUAACACAUGCAAGUCGAACGGAAAGGCCGAAGCUUGCUUCGGUACUCGAGUGGCGAACGGGUGAGUAACACGUGGGUGAUCUGCCCUGUACUUCGGGAUAAGCUUGGGAAACUGGGUCUAAUACCGGAUAUGACAAUCUCUUGGAUGGGGUUGUGGAAAGCUUUUGCGGUAUGGGAUGAGCUCGCGGCCUAUCAGCUUGUUGGUGGGGUAAUGGCCUACCAAGGCGUCGACGGGUAGCCGGCCUGAGAGGGUGUACGGCCACAUUGGGACUGAGAUACGGCCCAGACUCCGACGGGAGGCAGCAGUGGGGAAUAUUGCACAAUGGGCGCAAGCCUGAUGCAGCGACGCCGCGUGGGGGAUGACGGCCUUCGGGUUGUAAACUCCUUUCGCAACCGACGAAGCUUUUUGUGACGGUAGGUGGAGAAGAAGCACCGGCUAACUACGUG
rnacentral:rRNA from 1 species